rnacentral:rRNA from 1 species
UCUUCCCUCUUUCUUCGUGCCUAAUACAUGCAAGUCGAGCGAACAGACGAGGAGCUUGCUCCUCUGACGUUAGCGGCGGACGGGUGAGUAACACGUGGAUAACCUACCUAUAAGACUGGGAUAACUUCGGGAAACCGGAGCUAAUACCGGAUAAUAUAUUGAACCGCAUGGUUCAAUAGUGAAAGACGGUUUUGCUGUCACUUAUAGAUGGAUCCGCGCCGCAUUAGCUAGUUGGUAAGGUAACGGAUUACCAAGGCGACGAUGCGUAGCCGACCUGAGAGGGUGAUCGGCCACACUGGAACUGAGACACGGUCCAGACUCCUACGCGAGGCAGCAGUGGAGAAGUUUCCGCAAUGGGCGAAAGCCUGACGGAGCAACGCCGCGUGAGUGCUGAAGGUCUUCGGAUCUUAAAAUUCUGUUAUUCGGGAAGAACAAAUGUGUAAGUAACUAUGCACGUCUUGACGGUACCUAAUCAGAAAGCCACGGCUAACUACGUG